rnacentral:rRNA from 1 species
GACAGAGGUGGCGAGCGUUGUUCGGCAUCACUGGGCUUAAAGGGCGAGUCGGCGGUAGGGCAAGUCUGAGGUGGAAUCCUAUGGCUCAACAAUAGAACUGCCUUGGAAACUGUUCUACUUGAGUCAGUGAGGGGAGGGCGGAAUUGCCGGUGUAGCGGUGAAAUGCGUAGAUAUCGGUAGGAAGGCCGGUGGCGAAGGCGGCCCUCUGGCGCUGUACUGACGCUGAGGCGCGAAAGCGUGGGGUGCAAAAAGG